rnacentral:rRNA from 1 species
GAGUGUCGGGUUAAGUCCCAUAACGAGCGCAACCCCUAUUGCCAGUUGCUAACAGGAGAGCUGAGCACUCUGGCGAGACUGCCGCCGACAAGGCGGAGGAAGGUGGGGAUGACGUCAAGUCAUCAUGGCCUUUAUGCCCAGGGCUACACACGUGCUACAAUGGCCGGCACAGACGGCAGCUUAGUGGCGACACUUGGCAAAUCCUCUAAAGCCGGUCCCAGUUCGGAUUGCAGUCUGCAACUCGACUGCAUGAAGCCGGAAUCGCUAGUAAUCGCAGAUCAGCCAAGCUGCGGUGAAUACGUUCCCGGGCCUU